GUAAUCUAACCUAACAAGUUGGGUUGUUAAUUUAAACCCAGCAAAAGCCAGACAUUUCUAAACAUGCCCAAGUGUGCCACGCGUUUUCUGAAGAAAUUUACAGACAGCAACUUGGAGAUGCUGUCAGAGUGGAUUCUCAUUUUCACCUCACAAUAAUGAAUGAACGCCUAACACAAGACCUGUGUGCUAACACGGCAGCCUCCACCACCCCACCACCACCAGUUGAGUCCUGUCCUGCACGGGGGUAGGCUCCUCGCCCCUGCCUCAUAUCUCCAGC